GAUGAACGCUGGCGGCGUGCUUAACACAUGCAAGUCGAACGGUGAAGCAGGAGCUUGCUCUUGUGGAUCAGUGGCGAACGGGUGAGUAACACGUGAGCAACCUGCCCCUGACUCUGGGAUAAGCGCUGGAAACGGCGUCUAAUACUGGAUAUGUGAUGUGACCGCAUGGUCUGCAUCUGGAAAGAAUUUCGGUUGGGGAUGGGCUCGCGGCCUAUCAGCUUGUUGGUGAGGUAAUGGCUCACCAAGGCGUCGACGGGUAGCCGGCCUGAGAGGGUGACCGGCCACACUGGGACUGAGACACGGCCCAGACGCCCACGGGAGGCAGCAGUGGGGAAUAUUGCACAAUGGGCGGAAGCCUGAUGCAGCAACGCCGCGUGAGGGAUGACGGCCUUCGGGUUGUAAACCUCUUUUAGCAGGGAAGAAGCGAAAGUGACGGUACCUGCAGAAAAAGCACCGGCUAACUACGUGCCAGCCGCCGCAGUAA
rnacentral:rRNA from 1 species